rnacentral:rRNA from 1 species
GACGAACGCUGUUUGCGUGCUUAACACAUGCAAGUCGAACGGAAAGGCCCUGCUUUUGUGGGGUGCUCGAGUGGCGAACGGGUGAGUAACACGUGAGUAACCUGCCCUUGACUUUGGGAUAACUUCAGGAAACUGGGGCUAAUACCGGAUAGGAGCUCCUGCUGCAUGGUGGGGGUUGGAAAGUUUCGGCGGUUGGGGAUGGACUCGCGGCUUAUCAGCUUGUUGGUGGGGUAGUGGCUUACCAAGGCUUUGACGGGUAGCCGGCCUGAGAGGGUGACCGGGCACAUUGGGACUGAGAUACGGCCCAGACUCCUACGGGAGGCAGCAGUGGGGAAUAUUGCACAAUGGGCGGAAGCCUGAUGCAGCAACGCCGCGUGCGGGAUGACGGCCUUCGGGUUGUAAACCGCUUUCGCCUGUGACGAAGCGUGAGUGACGGUAAUGGGUAAAGAAGCACCGGCUAACUACGUGCCAGCAGCCGCGGUGAUACGUAGGGUGCGAGCGUUGUCCGGAUUUAUUGGGCGUAAAGGGCUCGUAGGUGGUUGAUCGCGUCGGAAGUGUAAUCUUGGGGCUUAACCCUGAGCGUGCUUUCGAUACGGGUUGACUUGAGGAAGGUAGGGGAGAAUGGAAUUCCUGGUGGAGCGGUGGAAUGCGCAGAUAUCAGGAGGAACACCAGUGGCGAAGGCGGUUCUCUGGGCCUUUCCUGACGCUGAGGAGCGAAAGCGUGGGGAGCGAACAGGCUUAGAUACCCUGGUAGUCCACGCUGUAAACGGUGGGUACUAGGUGUGGGGUCCAUUCCACGGGUUCCGUGCCGUAGCUAACGCUUUAAGUACCCCGCCUGGGGAGUACGGCCGCAAGGCUAAAACUCAAAGGAAUUGACGGGGCCCCGCACAAGCGGCGGAGCAUGCGGAUUAAUUCGAUGCAACGCGUAGAACCUUACCUGGGUUUGACAUGGAUCGGGAGUGCUCAGAGAUGGGUGUGCCUCUUUUGGGGUCGGUUCACAGGUGGUGCAUGGCUGUCGUCAGCUCGUGUCGUGAGAUGUUGGGUUAAGUCCCGCAACGAGCGCAACCCUUGUUCACUGUUGCCAGCACGUUAUGGUGGGGACUCAGUGGAGACCGCCGGGGUCAACUCGGAGGAAGGUGGGGAUGACGUCAAGUCAUCAUGCCCCUUAUGUCCAGGGCUUCACGCAUGCUACAAUGGCUGGUACAGAGAGUGGCGAGCCUGUGAGGGUGAGCGAAUCUCGGAAAGCCGGUCUCAGUUCGGAUUGGGGUCUGCAACUCGACCUCAUGAAGUCGGAGUCGCUAGUAAUCGCAGAUCAGCAACGCUGCGGUGAAUACGUUCCCGGG